AGAGACUGUGGCUCCAUUUCCCCAUUAGAGAGAACUCUUGUCUCAUCUCUUCUCCCAACUCUGGAAUGGAAUGGAAUAAAAAUGCUAGCUUGAGCGCUUUGCAACUCCCUUUCAGUAACCGGGACAAAAACAUGCAGGAGUGAAACUCAGUGUUUCUCAACCUAGGCAAGUUGAGUGUUUCUCAACCUCGGCAAAAUGUGUGGACUUCAACUCCCAGAAUUCUCCAGCCAGCUUGCUUUCAACCAGAAUGGAAAAUCCAUGGCCCUCCAGAUACGGAUAAACAACCAGGCAGCAUAGCUGAAUGGGAGGAGAAGACAUCACUUCCAAGGAACAGUAGCCAGCUGCAACUUCUGGGAAUGGAUGUCAGAGGCCAAGAAGGAAACUAGAAAGUAGGAAUCCUGGACGCACAAUUUGUGCUCCUCCAGAUGUUGCUAAACAACUUCUUUCAGCAUCCCACAUUAUUGGCCAUGCUACCUGGGAUUGCUGGGAAUUGUGGUUUAGCAACAUCUGGAGGACCCAUCUCCUACCUGAUGCCAUGGCAGAGCAAAGAAGGAUGGUAGUGGUGAAUUGCCUGAGAUGUAAGUAUGUCUCCUUGUGGAAUAGAAACACAAUUGAGGUUUGCUUUCCAAGGCACCACCAAAUAUCAGGUGGUGGGUGACAGUCUGUGCCUUUUGUCUGAAAAUGUAAGAUCUGCAUGUAAAAACCCAUUCAUGCAGAGAGAUUAUAAGCCACUUUGCUAUAAUAUGUUUGUAAGCCACCUAUAAUUAUGCAUUCUGCUUUGAGCUUUUCUUAUUGUUGAUAAGCAGUU